GAAAAGGGGAAUCCGACUGUUUAAUUAAAAAAAAAAAUAUUGCGAUGGUCCCCGCGGAUGCUGACACAAUGUGAUUUAUACCGAGUUCUUUGCAUGUGAAAGUGAAGAAAUUCAAUCAAGCGCAGGUAAACGAAUGGAGUAACUAUGACUCUAUUAAGGUAUACAGAUGCCUCGUCAUCUAAUUAGUGACAUGCGUGAAUGGAUUAACAAGAUUCCU
rnacentral:ncRNA from 1 species